rnacentral:rRNA from 1 species
ACAGAGGGGGCAAGCGUUAUUCGGAAUUAUUGGGCGUAAAGGGCGCGUAGGCGGCUUUUCAAGUGACGGGUGAAAUCCCUCGGCUUAACCGAGGAACUGCCUGUCAGACUGGAAGGCUUGAGACCGGGAGAGGUGAGUGGAAUUCCCAGUGUAGCGGUGAAAUGCGUAGAUAUUGGGAGGAACACCAGUGGCGAAGGCGGCUCACUGGACCGGAACUGACGCUGAGGCGCGAAAGCGUGGGGAGCAAACAGGA